CCUACGGGUGGCAGCAGUAGGGAAUAUUGCUCAAUGGGGGAAACCCUGAAGCAGCAACGCCGCGUGGAGGAUGAAGGUUUUCGGGUUGUAAACUCCUUUUGUCAGAGAAGAUACUGAUGGUAUUUAACGAUUAAGCACCGGCGAACUCCUUGCCAGCAGCCGCGGUAAUACGGAGGGGGCGAGCGUUAUUCGGAAUCACUGGGCGUAAAGAGCGCGGAGGCGGGAUAGGAAGUCAGAUGUGAAAUACUAUGGCUUAACCAUAGGACUGCAUUUGAAACUGUUAUUCUAGAGUAUGGGAGAGGCAAGUGGAAUUCUUGGUGUAGGGGUAAAAUCCGUAGAGAUAAAGAGGAAUACUCGUUGCGAAGGCGACCUGCUAGAACAUAACUGACGCUGAUGCGCGAAAGCGUGGGGAGCAAACAGGAUUAGAUACCCGAGUAGUC
rnacentral:rRNA from 1 species